CAAUACUAAACAAAUAAAAGAAAGGCAGAGCUGUUAAGUACUCUACUCUCAUUCAUUCAAUUCAAUUGUUGUCUUGUAUUAAAGAAAACCCAUCACCUCUCCAAUAUUUCUCUUAUAUAAUGGCAUUAGAGCAUCCCUCACCUCUCCCUCCCUCAGUACAACUCCAUAGCAACCACCUUCUCUUCAGGUGAACCUCCCCUCCUUGCUCCAUCUCCCUCGAAAGCUCGGCUCUGAUCAUCUGAGGAGGUUAAACAAUGAGCAGGAAGGGGCCGAGAAGGGACCUGAAGCUGAACUUAUCCCCGCCGACGAUGCGUGGAAACACAUCGAGAAGGGUGGCGGAGGACGACGACGGACUCGCCUGAUAAUUCUCGUCCCGCGAGCUCGUGUGUGUCAUCGGAAGCCGCCAGCAGCCCCGAGGCGACGUCGAUGGUGGCUCGCCGGUUGCCCGAGGUGCCUGAUUACGUGAUGCUGCCUGAGCAGGACUCGAAGUGCCCCAAGUGCAACAGCCACCGUUGCUCCUUGACUUUCUCAACAACAACAGCAGCAGCAGCAGCAGCAGCAAUAACAGUAACAAGAACAAGGGCAACGGCAAGAAGAACAGAAAGAGCUGAAGUUUUCGUUAUAUAUCCCUGUUUCUUAGUUUUAUGUCACCUUGGUUCUUAGUUUCCAUCCAUAAGCUUAAUUGCAGAUACAUCUUUUAUACUACUGCCUUUAGAAUUUCAGACGAUUUUUUUUUGAACUUUUCUUGCUGUCACUUUUAAAAUUCGAUUAAAAGAAUUUUCGGUUGAAUUAAGGGCAGAAAGAUAAUUUAUCGUCAAGUCAUUCACGCAAGUGCGUAGUACAAGAGAUGUAUCUGCAAUUAACCCUUUAAUCUAUAUAAAUAGAUUGUAGUGGUGGUCUUUUCUGCUAGAUGAAGUCUCUGUCUCCUCCUUUUCGUGCUCCCAACUCUCUGUUUGGCCGAAGACGGUGUAAACUGGGCCAACUCCGAUGACUAGCCCAAAUUAUAAUAUAAAUAGUACUCUAGUACC